rnacentral:rRNA from 1 species
UACGUAGGCGGCAUAGUUAGUCGAAUGUUAAAGCACCGGGCUCAACCCGGGACAGGCAUUCGAAACGGCUAAGCUAGAGGAUGUGAGAGGUGAGUGGAACUCAUGGUGUAGGGGUGAAAUCCGUUGAUAUCAUGGGGAACACCAAAAGCGAAGGCAACUCACUGGCACAUUCCUGACGCUGAGGUACGAAAGCGUGGGUAGCGAAUG